rnacentral:rRNA from 1 species
CAGCAGCCGCGGGAAUACGUAGGGUGCGAGCGUUAAUCGGAAUUACUGGGCGUAAAGCGUGCGCAGGCGGUUGUGUAAGACAGGUGUGAAAUCCCCGGGCUCAACCUGGGAACUGCAUUUGUGACUGUAGAGCUGGAGUGCGGCAGAGGGGGAUGGAAUUCCGCGUGUAGCAGUGGAAUGCGUAGAUAUGCGGAGGAACACCGAUGGCGAAGGCAAUCCCCUGGGCCUGCACUGACGCUCAUGCACGAAAGCGUGGGGAGCAAACAGGAUUAGAUACCCGCGUAGUCCCUGUCUCUUAUAC